AUAAUCUUGAACAACUUGAAGCGGACUUGAUUAAUACCGGAAGAGAGCCUUGCAUCGUCGACAUAUAAAAGUAUUGCAGAACUUGAAAGUGUGCCAGGUUGAGGAUUUCAGUUCCAGUGUGCCAGGUGUGCCAGAACUUAAGGCUGCUGCAUUAAGGAAUUCUGGUUGAGGAUUUCAGUUCAUUAGUGAUUAGACAGCUAUUUGGGAUUUUAGUUAAUUUUGUUUUAUUCUGAAGAUUGUGUUUUGUUUAUGGACAUGUUGAACUGUUGAAUUAU